AGAACGAACGCUGGCGGCAUGCCUAAUACAUGCAAGUCGAACGAACACUUCGGUGUUAGUGGCGCACGGGUGCGUAACGCGUGGGAAUCUGCCCUUGGGUUCGGAAUAACAGUUGGAAACGACUGCUAAUACCGGAUGAUGACGAAAGUCCAAAGAUUUAUCGCCCAGGGAUGAGCCCGCGUAGGAUUAGCUAGUUGGUGAGGUAAAGGCUCACCAAGGCGACGAUCCGUUAGCUGGUCUGAGAGGAUGAUCACGCCACACGUGGGACUGAGACCACCGGCCCAGACCUACCGUACGGGAGGCAGACAGGUAAGGGAAUUAGU
rnacentral:rRNA from 1 species